UACGGAGGGUGCGAGCGUUGUCCGGAAUCAUUGGGCGUAAAGGGCGCGUAGGUGGCCCGGUCAGUCCGUGGUGAAAGCGCGGGGCUCAACCCCGCGUCGGCCAUGGAUACUGCUGGGCUGGAGCACUGUAGAGGCAGGCGGAAUUCCGGGUGUAGCGGUGGAAUGCGUAGAGAUCAUGAGGAAGACCAGUGGCGAAGGCGGGUCUCUGGACAGUUCCUGACACUGAGGCACGAAGGCCAGGGGAGCAAACGGG
rnacentral:rRNA from 1 species